UACGUAGGGUGCGAGCGUUAAUCGGAAUUACUGGGCGUAAAGCGUGCGCAGGCGGUUUUGUAAGCCAGAUGUGAAAUCCCCGGGCUCAACCUGGGAAUGGCAUUUGGGACUGCAAGGCUUGAGUGCGGCAGAGGAGACUGGAAUUCCUGGUGUAGCAGUGAAAUGCGUAGAUAAUCAGGAGGAAUACCGAUGGCGAAGGCAGGUCUCUGGGCUGACACUGACGCUCAUGCACGAAAGCGU
rnacentral:rRNA from 1 species